GGAGGGUGCGAGCGUUGUUCGGAAUUAUUGGGCGUAAAGAGCGUGUAGGCGGUUUGGUAAGUCAGAUGUGAAAGCCCUGGGCUCAACCCAGGAAGUGCAUUUGAUACUGCCAUCCUUGAGUAUGGGAGAGGAGAGUGGAAUUCCCAGUGUAGAGGUGAAAUUCGUAGAUAUUGGGAAGAACACCCGUGGCGAAGGCGACUCUCUGGACCAAUACUGACGCUGAGACGCGAAAGCGUGGGGAGCAAACAGGAUUAGAUACCCUGGUAGUCCACGCCGUAAACGAUGAGAACUAGGUGUAGCGGGUAUUGACCCCUGCUGUGCCGGAGCUAACGCACUAAGUUCUCCGCCCUGGGAGUACGGCCGCAAGGCUA
rnacentral:rRNA from 1 species